GGGUCUCUCUUGUUAGACCAGGUCGAGCCCGGGAGCUCUCUGGCUAGCAAGGAACCCAC
rfam:Human lymphadenopathy virus (MAL isolate), complete genome.